CUGAUUUCUAUUGCUCUCCUAUGGCAAUGUCAAAAUUAAUAAAACAGAAGCAGAAAUAUUGUCUUUUUUUUUUUUAUUUCAGGAUUUUUUCCCUCUCUGGUCAAAAAGUGGAGCCUACAUUACCCACAAUACAACUCGACCACCUACAAAUGCUUCAAAAUGCUUUAAAUUAUAGCGGAGGUCUGACUGUGCCACCUGAAUACACACAAAUUUCCUGAGUCUACUGUGAGUACAAUCAGGAAAUUGCCUGCUUCUUUCUUGACAAAGUGAGCCACUGCUAGAUUAAUCUCAACACUGCUUUGAUGCUUCGGAGGGAGGGAGGCAGGCAGCAGAUGUUGGAUUGAGCUCCUCCUUUUGGGAAUAAGUUACUCGUCGUGUUACUAAAGAAAACAGCGCAGCUUUACGCAUCGCAUUUCGCGGAGGCUGCUGGAGGUCUGCUGAGAAGCCCUUCAAGCUACGAGACGGAAGAAAACAGCCGAGGACAGACACCAACGAUCGACGAGGCUUGAGGUGCGAUCUGCCAACGAAACUGUGCCCACUGUUAAACAGCCAACUGUCUCUUUCCACUGGAACCAUGGUGACAGCAGUCCUUAAGUUGUAUUUUAUUGGAACCGCGCUGACUGUCCUUGCAGUCAUUUAUGGAAUAGUAGACUCCUUUGGCGGGCUAAUGUACGCCCAGAACCACAACUACAUACUGGAGCUGGACCACCAGACACAGAGAGAGCUGUCAUCAAGCAUCCGCCAGAGAGGGUCGACGGUGACUAAAAACAUCGGCUCAUAGCGGGAACAUCUUGGUCACAAUUUAAAAAAAUGUCCACUGGGUGGACAUGUUGGACACCAUGGCAAUGGAUCAAGAGAGCGUGAGACUUCAUAUUUACUGGAGAUACUAGCUGGACUGGUCCCAUUGCUGACUAUCUAGGUCAUUGUUGUGUUGAGCUUGUUGGACGUGUUGUGCCCUUUGAAUAAGCUCUACACUUGACAGUUUACUAAUGGAUGCCUAAGUGGAAUGUCUCUGUGAGUCCUGCUUUGAAUCAUCUGCUGUCCAACUCUGUAGCAGCUAGUUUGUGUAAGAGCAACAAGAAAUCUGACGACAAAUGUAACGGCACUACUGAACAAUGAUUUGCACUAAUAACGAGAAAGGUUCUUCACUUCUCGGGUUGAUGUGUACAUUCUGAUGUUUUUUUUUAAAUAAAAGGAAUUAAAAUGAA